AAACAUGGACAUGCAGACCACAGAAUUCACCAGAUACCCAACUUGGGUGGUGCCGGGCUCUGAAAGACAUGCUUCAAGUAAGAGGGACUAGAAAACUCCGCCAGGGAGCAACAGGGAUCAGGGAUUCCAGGAGGAUCCAGGGGCCUGUGCAAAGAGCAAGCAGUGAGCAGACGUGUGUGUCAGUGAUCCGGUGGCAUGAACUCAACACCAUCUAAUACAGCAGCUCACAUUUCUGUGUGCAUCAGACUCACCUGGGGACUUGUUAAACACAGAUUGUUGGGUCUCACUCCUAGAGUUUCUUCUUCAGUAUUCUGGGGAGCAGCCUGUGAAUCUGUAUUUCCAGCAUGACUUUCAGGUGCUAUUGAUACUGUUGGUCCAAGGACCACACUAUGAUCUAAUUUAGCACCAGGUUAGGGGAGGAACUAAGGAGCAAAGAAGCAACAGAAGAAGGGACCUGAAGCCUGUAGGGGCUUCUCUGUAAACUCCUCAAACAAAAGCCUUCAAGACAUUCAAAAAACAUUUACAGCAUCAUGUCUACAAAUACAAGGCACCACGCAGGGAGUGCUCCAUCAAGUAGAGAGAAGAGCCCACUGAGUGUCCCUCUCUUAGUCCGUUUGUGUUGCUAUAACAGAAUACCACAGACUGGGUGAUUUAUAAGCAAGAGUUCACUUGGUUUACGGUUCUGAACACUGGGAAAGUGAGGGGCCUGCAUCUGGUGAAGGUCUCACUGUGCCGUCCUAUGGUGGAAGGUGGAAGGGCAAGAGAGUGACCACAUGUGAAGGGGGGAGGGGGAAAGAGAAAGGGAAGGAAGCCAACCUCAUCCUUUUAUCAGGAACCCCCUCCCAAGAUAACUAACCCACUCUAGCUUCAUCCAUUCAUGAGGGCAGAGCCUUCAUGACCUAAUCACCUCUUAAAGGUUCCACUGGUCAACACUGUUGCAUUAGGGGUUGAGUUUCCAACACAUGAACUUCGGGGAACACAUUCAAACCACAGCAGUCCUCAUGUAAACCUUCCAGAAAACCUGUGUGCCUGGCACUCUGGAAUCCCUCUUUUCCACCCCUUCUCACUGCAACUCUAACAUCAUGUCCCCUCAUCAUUUUCCAUUCGAGCAUAGGAAAGAACACAAUCACUACACCCAUUUUUGAUGAACCUUUCCUACAUUAAAAUAAUUCUAUCACUCAGAUAGAAAUUUGAAAUGAGAAUAUAGUUUAAUGGAAAUCCUAAAAUACACAGAAAAUAAAAAUAAUCACCAAAAAUGUUCAAUGAAGCAAAGCAACACAUAGAGAUCUUAUAUCCUAAAAUAUAUAGACCUAAAUAUGUCAUUUUAAAAAUCAAGGAAGAAACAUAAGGAGCUCUAUACACACCUUUAAAAAUAUGCUGUCUAGAAUUAAUUUGGAAUUCUGUUAAGAUACAUUUUACUAGGAAAAGUAUCUAAGUCAUUAAUGUAUCAAAGAAAACAAUCAUUCUUGUAUUGCAAAUAAAUGCCCAACCAAGACAAAAAGGCAUGUCACAUCUUAUGGGAAAAGACUGAAAUGAGGGUGAGAGGAAAACUGUGACCUUUGAAUGUAAGACAGAAAAAAAUCAGGCCAGAAUGUUAAGGAAUUGGAAAUGAUUCUCCAAAUUAAAGGAAUAUGAGACAGAAAGAGAGGAGAGAGGGAGGCGAUAGUCCUCCAGGGGCUACUCCAGGGGUGUGGGGGUAUCUCCCUUUCAAGGGGCUGUUUCCUGUGUUAACUGACUCCCCAUAAAAAAAAAUUAUAUAUACUAACAAAUGAUAUUGUACCCCAUAAAUUGUACAUGUUUGCUUAAAAAUAUUUCAAAGAAUUGUUUUGGCUGAUUUUUAUCUAUCUUCUAAAUUAUAUAUAUUUAUGGGGUAUAAAAUGAUGGUAUGACUUUUCAUUACGAUGUGGAAUGAUGAAAUCAAAUUAACCAACCCAUUACCUCAAAUACUUGACUUUUUUUUGUGAUGAGAAUGCUGUUUAAUCACUUUCAUCACCACCUGCUGAUGUCAUCCAUGCUAGGGACAGGAAAGCCUCCACACUCCCAGUAGACUCCCUCCAAUAGACAUCAGGGGUGUGGGGUAGAUGGGAAUAAAGGAGGCAGAGAGAGCAGUGGGGAUGUACAUAAAAUCACCGUUCAGAGCUGCGCUGUCCAAUAAGGCAGCCACUGCCACAUGUGGCUGCUGAGCACUUGAAAGAUUGCUAAGCUGUUAGGAUCAUUGCCUCUAUUAUCACCAUGACAUCAGGUCACCACCAAACCGUCAAGUGCUAAACAGACAGAAUGUUUCCACUCCUGAUCCACUGUGUGGAGAAGCACAGAGCUUACCCAUGGGGAGCUGCAUCAGAAGAGACGCACACGCACCGGGGCGUG
rnacentral:lncRNA from 10 species